rnacentral:rRNA from 1 species
AAAUGAAUUGACGGGGGCCCGCACAAGCGGUGGAGCAUGUGGUUUAAUUCGAUGCAACGCGAAGAACCUUACCAGGGCUUGACAUCCCCUGAGAGAUGUAGAGAUACAUUGUUCUGGCUUGCCAGACAGGGAGACAGGUGGUGCAUGGCUGUCGUCAGCUCGUGUCGUGAGAUGUUGGGUUAAGUCCCGCAACGAGCGCAACCCUUGCCUUUAGUUGCCAUCAUUAAGUUGGGCACUCUAGAGGGACUGCCGGUAAAAAGCCGGAGGAAGGCGGGGAUGAUGUCAAGUCAUCAUGCCCUUUAUGUCCUGGGCUACACACGUGCUACAAUGGCCGGUACAGAGGGAAGCUAAGGAGCGAUCCGGAGCGAAUCCCAGAAAACCGGUCUCAGUUCGGAUUGCAGGCUGAAACCCGCCUGCAUGAAGUCGGAAUCGCUAGUAAUCACGGGUCAGCAUACCGUGGUGAAUACGUUCCCGGGCCUUGUACACACCGCCCGU